UUGCAUGUAUUUAGGGGGAGUUUAAUUAGAAUGAUAAGAAUUAAACCCUUGCAUGUGUUUAGGGGGAGCUUAAUUGCAUAUCUACGAACAUUCUUGCAUUUGUUAUUAUUUCCAUCCAUAAAACAUAAGAUUUAUUCAAAAGGUUCGUCAUCAUCAAAAAGGGGGAGAUUGUUGAGGCAAAAUCCAUUUUAGUGUUUUAAUUGCAUAUCUACGAACAUUCUUGCAUUUGUUAUUAUUUCCAUCCAUAAAACAUAAGAUUUAUUCAAAAGGUUUGUCAUCAUCAAAAAGGGGGAGAUUGUUGAGGCAAAAUCCAUUUUAGUGUUUUAAUGACAAC
rnacentral:lncRNA from 1 species